GGGGGAUUGAACUCAAGACGUCAAGACCCUAUAGACGACUCCAAUACCAAUAAGCUAAAGCUCAUUGCUGAGAGAGUGUUAUUGUAGGCAUGGCAAGCAAUGUAGAAUAUUUUAUUUAUUAUUGACAUGUCAUGUAGCUCCCACUCAUAACAAAUAAAAUAUUACUGAUGUGGCAUGUGGGUUCCACUCAUAACAAACAAAAUAUUGUUGAAGUGGCAAGUCAUAUUAGCAAUAACACACUCCCUCCUCCAAAUCAACUUCAGUCCUUGAUUUAAAUUGCACCCAAUUUGAUAAAUUAGGCCUAAAUUGCCAAAAUUGAAAGCAUUGGAUUAAAACGCAAUUGUGCACAAACAUUUGGAUUUUUUGUAAAUAGGCCAACAACCAUUCAGAGAAAAGUGUUACUACUUUCAAAAAAAUUUUAACUAUUGCCAUUAGGUCCAUUAUAUACCUUCAAGCUCAUCCCUUUAGGAU
rnacentral:misc_RNA from 1 species